rnacentral:rRNA from 1 species
AGAGUUUGAUCAUGGCUCAGAUUGAACGCUGGCGGCAGGCUUAACACAUGCAAGUCGAACGGUAACAGAGAAUAGCUUGCUAUYUUGCUGACGAGUGGCGGACGGGUGAGUAAUACUUGGGAAUAUGCCAAAUGGUGGGGGACAACAGUUGGAAACGACUGCUAAUACCGCAUGAUCUCUUCGGAGCAAAGGGUGGGACCUUCGGGCCACUCGCCAUUUGAUUAGCCCAAGCGGGAUUAGCUAGUUGGUAAGGUAAGAGCUUACCAAGGCUACGAUCCCUAGCUGGUCUUAGAGGAUGACCAGCCACACUGGAACUGAGACACGGUCCAGACUCCUACGGGAGGCAGCAGUGGGGAAUAUUGCACAAUGGGGGAAACCCUGAUGCAGCCAUGCCGCGUGUGUGAAGAAGGCUUUCGGGUUGUAAAGCACUUUCAGCGGGGAGGAAAGGGUGUUAUUUAAUAAAUAAUAUCUGUGACGUUACCCGCAGAAGAAGCACCGGCUAACUCCGUGCCAGCAGCCGCGGUAAUACGGAGGGUGCGAGCGUUAAUCGGAAUUACUGGGCGUAAAGCGCGCGUAGGUGGUUUAUUAAGUCAGAUGUGAAAGCCCAGGGCUCAACCUUGGAACUGCAUUUGAAACUAAUAGACUAGAGUUUUGUAGAGGGUGGUAGAAUUUCAGGUGUAGCGGUGAAAUGCGUAGAGAUCUGAAGGAAUACCAGUGGCGAAGGCGGCCACCUGGACAAAGACUGACACUAAGGCGCGAAGGCGUGGGGAGCAAACGGGAUUAGAUACCCCGGUAGUCCACGCAGUAAACGAUGUCUAUUAGAAGUUUGUGGCUAUAUGCCGUGGGUUUCAAAGCUAACGCAUUAAAUAGACCGCCUGGGGAGUACGGCCGCAAGGUUAAAACUCAAAUGAAUUGACGGGGGCCCGCACAAGCGGUGGAGCAUGUGGUUUAAUUCGAUGCAACGCGAAGAACCUUACCAUCCCUUGACAUCCAGAGAAUCACCUAGAGAUAGAUGAGUGCCUUCGGGAGCUCUGAGACAGGUGCUGCAUGGCUGUCGUCAGCUCGUGUUGUGAAAUGUUGGGUUAAGUCCCGCAACGAGCGCAACCCUUAUCCUUACUUGCCAGCGGGUUAUGCCGGGAACUUUAGGGAGACUGCCGGUGAUAAACCGGAGGAAGGUGGGGACGACGUCAAGUCAUCAUGGCCCUUACGGGAUGGGCUACACACGUGCUACAAUGGCAGAUACAAAGGGUUGCUAACCUGCGAGGGUAUGCCAAUCUCAGAAAGUCUGUCGUAGUCCGGAUCGGAGUCUGCAACUCGACUCCGUGAAGUUGGAAUCGCUAGUAAUCGUGGAUCAGAAUGCCACGGUGAAURCGUUCCCGGGCCUUGUACACACCGCCCGUCACACCAUGGGAGUGGGCUGCACCAGAAGUCA